GAAGACUCUUUGCUAACUUUGGAUCUUACAAAGAUGUGUCCUGCGGAGAAGGUUCUGAAGCCUGAAUAAAGGUGGGCCAAGCGAAUGGAGAUGGUCAAGUUCCAGAGGACUGAGUCUGUCAUGGUGGGGAGGAACGGCAACAAGAGGCAGCCAUGGCAGCAGAUGCAGGAAGUUGAGAGCAAAGCAGAGAAACCCGACUGGAAGGUGGGUGAGGCUAUGAAGGUUGAGAGCCCACCCCAGCGAUGUACUUCCUUCAGCAAGGCUACAACCACCUGCCCAAACUAGGUGCCGCCAACUAGGAACCGAGUAGUCAAACAUCUGAGUCUAUGGGGGACAUUCUUAUUCAAACCACCAUACCAGGGAAAGAGUGUGACUUGGUUUGAACUACAGGAGCUUUGAAGUCUGAUUGCCUGUAUCUGAAUCCCAUCUUGCUAUUGACUUACCAUGCUGAAUAAAGUUUACCUGACCCA